UCGGGAAUUUUGGGCAAUGGGCGAAAGCCUGACCCAGCAACGCCGCGUGGAGGAUGAAAUCUUUCGGGAUGUAAACUUCGGAAGAAUAGGAAGAAUAAAAUGACGGUACUAUUUUUAAGGUCCGGCUAACUACGUGCCAGCAGCCGCGGUAAUACGUAGGGACCAAGCGUUGUUCGGAUUUACUGGGCGUAAAGGGCGCGUAGGCGGCGUAAUAAGUCACUUGUGAAAUCUCCGGGCUUAACUCGGAGCGGCCAAGUGAUACUGUUAGGCUAGAGUGCAGAAAGGGCAAUCGGAAUUCUUGGUGUAGCGGUGAAAUGCGUAGAUAUCAAGAGGAACACCUGAGGCGAAGGCGGGUUGCUAGGCUGACACUGACGCUGAGGCGCGAAAGCUAGGGUAGCAAACGGGAUUAGAUACCCUGGUAGUCCCUGAGCGGGC
rnacentral:rRNA from 1 species